rnacentral:ncRNA from 2 species
CAUCAAAAUCUGGGGUGCCCAAGGGCUGAGACUAUACCCACAUAACCUGAUCUAGUUCGUACUAGCGUAGGGAGAUUACUUGAGAGAUUU